rnacentral:rRNA from 1 species
GACGAACGCUGGCGGCGUGCCUAAUACAUGCAAGUCGAGCGAUGAAGGAGAUACUUGUAUCUUUUGAAGAGCGGCGAACGGGUGAGUAACGCGUGGGGAAUCUGCCAAUGAGUGGGGGACAACAUUUGGAAACGAAUGCUAAUACCGCAUAAAAUCUAUUGAGACAUCUCAAGAGAUUGAAAGGAACAAUUGUUUCGCUCGUUGAUGAUCCCGCGUUGUAUUAGCUAGUUGGUGAGGUAAGGGCUCACCAAGGCGAUGAUACAUAGCCGACCUGCGAGGGUGAUCGGCCACAUUGGGACUGAGACACGGCCCAAACUCCUACGGGAGGCAGCAGUAGGGAAUCUUCGUCAAUGGACGAAAGUCUGACCGAGCAACGCCGCGUGAGUGAAGAAGGUUUUCGGAUCGUAAAGCUCUGUUGUUGUUAAAGAACGUUGAUGAGAGUGGAAAGUUCAUCAAGUGACGGUAAACAACCAGAAAGGGACGGCUAACUACGUGCCAGCCGCCGCCGUAA